UCGCGUUCCAUUCUGUCUCGAGCUUGGAGCAGGACAAGAAUUCAGAGCCCUUUUACCGUCCUGCUCAGCCAGUGUCGAAGCUCGCUCUGACCUCUUGUAUUCGUGGACGCUUCGAGUUUAUCGACGUCGUCGUUGAACGAGUCUGCGCUGCCUGUACGUGCUGGUAGUGACGUACCAGCAGCUGCUGUUCGGCACCGUGCACCCAGGCGUCGCCAGCUUCCUACCGUUCGUGUAUAUACCGCUGCUCGAGAUAGACACCAUGUCUGAAGUCUGCAACAAUUAUUUCACGGAGCUCUUCUUCACGUGCUUUGGUCAGCUGGCGUACACCGCUGCCAUGACGACGAGCGGCCUCUGUCACCGGCUCGCGCUCUGGUCGCUGCGACACAUGGCGUACGGCAUCGAGCUCGGGAUAUUCACCCUGAUGGCCGUCUCCAUGGCCAUCUCCUUCUGGGUGGACAACGCGAUCGCCACGCUGACCACAGUGUCCGUGGUCAAUGAGACGUUCGGCAUCAUACAGCGGAACACCUACAUCCGCAUGACGCAGGACGCUUCCUUCAGGGAGCUGAACAUGAGCUCCAGCAAUAGCGGAGAAGACAACAUCCCUAUUACAGAAGAGUUGGCUGACGAAUUCACGAAGUUGGACCGUAUGCGGCAAACCAGCUUGAUUGGAGUCGGAUUUUGCGCCACGCUAGGCGGCAUGGGGUUACUGUCGGGUCACCUGAUCAACUAUUACCUCCUCGGCUACAUUAGAGAGGAAUACGGCCCGCUGGUCAUCACUCCGCUGUCUUGGUGUGUUUUCCACCUUCCACUGUGCUUCAUGCUACUCGUAGCUACGUGGGCUGUGCUUCACUACCUCGCGCUGGGCAACUCGGUGGCAUCGAGAUACCGAGAGCAGAUCAACGAAGACUUACAGAAGGCCAUCGACGAGCAAGUCGCAGCCCUAGGCCCACUGAAGCUUCACGAGGGCGGCGUGCUCUUGAACUACGUCCUGCUGAACGUCCUUCUCUUCCUGGGCAGCAGGUUCACGCAAGAGCUCAGCAAGCGUUCCGGCAUCUGGGUCUCGCACAGCGCCCUGUGGGUGGGCUUCACGAUCGUGCUCUUCGUGUUUCCUGGCGAGUCGGUGACGCAAUGCGACCGGGGUCGCCGGUUGCUCACGUGGACCGAGCUGAACAACAGCAUGCCCUGGUACACUCUGCUGCUCGCCAACACUUGCGUGCUGCUCAGCACCUACUUCCGAACGACAGGCCUGCAGCAGCUGAUGAGGGACGAAGUGUACGAGCACUCGCUGCCCAAGCCGCUCUACGUGCAGAUAAUUAUUUCCCUCGUCACGUCGGUCAUGUGCGAGCUUUGCCAGAACACGGUGGUGGUUGCCAUCUUCGCACCGUACGUUACUCACCUGGCUGACAUUAUGCAGGUGCAUCCAAUGUACUUCAUCCUCGCUGUUUACCACGCCGGAACGUUGUCGAUUAUGUACCCACGUUCCUGCGUCUGCAACGAAAUCGUCUUCGCAGAGAAGUUUAUCAAGACAACCGACAUGGCCGUUCCCGGACUGAUCAUCAAACUAAUGGGGAUAGUCUUGAGCCUCAUAUCCAUCAACACGUCAGGCUACUACAUAUUCGACAUGGCUGCACCACCAUUGCGUUUGCCUCAUGACCUCUUAAACGCUACAAGCUCAAUAAUAUUAUAACUAUUGGGCAUACAUGAAUGCAUCCUUGCGAAGAGAAUUUUAAGGCGUAUUAAUAUUUGGAACUAAUUUGACAUUCUGUGGUGUGCUAGCAACGUUGUGUGACUACUUGCGCCACCUGCCAACUAGGAUUUGAUGCAUUUAUUUGGUGUGAAUGCGAACUCUUGUUAACGAAGAAAUCGUCGGAGGACGCUACCGACAUCUGACUCUGGGGCAAGGCGUAGUCUGCGUUGCAACUUUUUCGGCUUGUUUUGUUUUGUGGGCCCGCAGACGCCUCAUUUGUUUAACUGUUUUAACGGUAAAAGCCUUUUUAUGGCCUCAGCAUUGUUCGCUUGUACAAGAUGCAACGCAAGGCACCCGUUCGAAGAACUUUCUCAAGGGCAACAGCUUUGUAAACCUGUACAGCCCACCAUGAAGAGUGCCUCCACACUAGAGAGCUCAGUGCCUCUCGGCAAAGGACUGCCGAGGUGCUUUUCCCAUUGUCAAGUGCACCUACUGCCGAACAGAAUUCCAACAAGAAAGUGGGAAACUCGGAACUGUGGUCAUCUGCAAGAAGUGUGAGCAGAAUGUGAAAGCCUAUGGCAAG